GGCCCCUUAGCUCAGUUGGUCAAGAGCAGGCGACUCAUAAUCGCUUGGUCGCUGGUUCAAAUCCAGCAGGGGCCA
rnacentral:tRNA from 1 species